AGUGAACGCUGGCGGCAGGCCUAACACAUGCAAGUCGAACGGCAGCACAAGAGAGCUUGCUCUCUGGGUGGCGAGUGGCGGACGGGUGAGGAAUGCAUCGGAAUCUGCCCAUUUGUGGGGGAUAACCUCGGGAAACCGGGACUAAUACCGCAUACGACCUACGGGUGAAAGCAGGGGAUCUUCGGACCUUGCGCAGAUGGAUGAGCCGAUGCCGGAUUAGCUAGUUGGAGGGGUAAAGGCCCACCAAGGCGACGAUCCGUAGCUGGUCUGAGAGGAUGAUCAGCCACACUGGGACUGAGACACGGCCCAGACUCCUACGGGAGGCAGCAGUGGGGAAUAUUGGACAAUGGGCGCAAGCCUGAUCCAGCCAUGCCGCGUGUGUGAAGAAGGCCUUCGGGUUGUAAAGCACUUUUGUUGGGAAAGAAAAGCAGCCGGUUAAUACCCGGUUGUCAUGACGGUACCCAAAGAAUAAGCACCGGCUAACCUCGUG
rnacentral:rRNA from 1 species